AUUUUAUGACAUUCUCACCAAUGCUAGUGUCGUUACGAAUUGGAUCCCGCUUCUACUUUGUUGUAACAAGACGGAUAAAGUAACUGCGCAUUCCAAAGGUUUCAUUAGCAGGCAAAUGGAGAGAGAACUAGAGAGACUUAGGAGCGAAAGGAAUGACUUUACACUCGGGAUUGAAGGAGAAGUGUUCUCGUUUUCACAUUGCCGUAACACAAUCACUGUCGCUGAGACCUCUGGACUAACGGGAGAAACAGAUCAGAUACAAGAGUUCAUCAGAGAACACGUUGAGCCUUUGAGAACCUAACUGUGUGAGCAUCUCUCAGUUCUAAAAACAAAAAAAACAAAAAUACAAUUAAAUGUGUGUCUCUUUUCAUUUUAUUGUACAUGAUGAGUUUAUAAGUUGAGCGUUUGUUUAGCGUA